rnacentral:rRNA from 1 species
CCCGGUGAUUGCGGCGGAGGGGCCACACCCGUUCCCAUUCCAAACGCGGCCGUAAAGCGCUCCAGCCCCAGUGGUACUGCACGGGUAACCGUGUGGGAGAGUAGGACGUUGCCGGGG